rnacentral:rRNA from 1 species
CAGCAUGAACUUAGCUUGCUAAGUUUGAUGGCGACCGGCGCACGGGUGAGUAACACGUAUCCAACCUGCCGAUGACUCAGGGAUAGCCUUUCGAAAGAAAGAUUAAUACCUGAUGGUAUCUUAAGCACACAUGUAAUUAAGAUUAAAGAUUCAUCGGUGUACGAUGGGGAUGCGUUCCAUUAGGUAGUAGGCGGGGUAACGGCCCACCUAGCCGACGAUGGAUAGGGGUUCUGAGAGGAAGGUCCCCACAUUGGAACUGAGACACGGUCCAAACUCC